rnacentral:rRNA from 1 species
UACGGAGGGUGCAAGCGUUGUUCGGAAUCAUUGGGCGUAAAGCGCGUGUAGGCGGCUUGGCAAGUCAGUUGUGAAAGCCCGGGGCCCAACCCCGGAAUUGCAUCUGAAACUGCCUGGCUAGAGUCCCGGAGAGGAAGGCAGAAUUCCCGGUGUAGGGGUGAAAUCCGUAGAUAUCGGGAGGAAUACCAGCGGCGAAGGCGGCCUCCUGGACGGUGACUGACGCUGAGACGCGAAAGCGUGGGGAGCAAACAGG